rnacentral:sRNA from 1 species
GGGCGACCCAGGGUGUGGAAGUUUCAGAGCUAUGCUGGAAACAGCAUAGCAAGUUGAAAUAAGGCUAGUCCGUUAUCAACUUGAAAAAGUGGCACCGAGUCGGUGCUUUUUUU